UGGGGAAUACUGGACAAUGGGCGAAAGCCUGAUCCAGCCAUGCCGCGUGUGUGAAGAAGGUCUUCGGAUUGUAAAGCACUUUAAGUUGGGAGGAAGGGCAUUAACCUAAUACGUUAGUGUUUUGACGUUACCGACAGAAUAAGCACCGGCUAACUCUGUGCCAGCAGCCGCGGUAAUACAGAGGGUGCAAGCGUUAAUCGGAAUUACUGGGCGUAAAGCGCGCGUAGGUGGUUUGUUAAGUUGGAUGUGAAAUCCCCGGGCUCAACCUGGGAACUGCAUUCAAAACUGACUGACUAGAGUAUGGUAGAGGGUGGUGGAAUUUCCUGUGUAGCGGUGAAAUGCGUAGAUAUAGGAAGGAACACCAGUGGCGAAGGCGACCACCUGGACUAAUACUGACACUGAGGUGCGAAAGCGUGGGGAGCAAACA
rnacentral:rRNA from 1 species